AGAGUUUGAUCCUGGCUCAGGACGAACAUUGGCGGCGCGCCUAAUGCAUGCAAGUCGAGCGAACUCGUUUUCUUCGGAAAACAUAUAGUUAGCGGCGAACGGCUGAGUAACGCGUAAGUAACCUGCCUCGAAGAGGGGAAAAACCAUGAGAAAUCAUGGCUAAUUCCGCGUAAUAUCAAUUAAUUAAUUUAAUUGAAGAAAGAUUUAUCGCUUUGAGAUGGGCUUGCGUCCUAUCAGGUAGUUGGUGAGGUAAUAGCUCACCAAGCCUAAGACGGGUAGCUGGAGUGAGAGCUUGACCAGCCAGAGGGGGACUGAGACACGGCCCCCACUCCUACGGGAGGCAGCAGCAGGGAAUCUUGCACAAUGGGCGAAAGCCUGAUGCAGCGACGCCGCGUGAGGGAUGAAGGUUUUAGGAUCGUAAACCUCUUUUCUUAGGGAAUAGUUUGGAAGGUACCUAAGGAAUAAGUCACGGCUAACUACGUGCCAGCAGCCGCGGUAAUACGUAGGUGGCAAAUGUUGUCCGGAAUCAUUGGGCGUAAAGGGUCCGUAGGUGGCUUGAAUAGUCUUAUGUGAAAUCUCUUGGCUCAACCAAGAAACGCCAUAAGAAACUUUCAAGCUAGAGAUCAUCAGAGGGAGGUAGAAUUCCAGGUGUAGUGGUGAAAUGCGUAGAUAUCUGGAGGAAUACCAAUGGCGAAAGCAGCCUCCUGGGGUGAAUCUGACAUUGAGGGACGAAAGCGUGGGUAGCAAACCGGAUUAGAUACCCGGGUAGUCCAUGCCGUAAACGAUGAAUACUGGGUCUUCGGGGAAUCGACCCCCUGUGGACCGAAGCUAACGCGUUAAGUAUUCCGCCUGGGGAGUACGGUCGCAAGACUAAAACUCAAAGGAAUUGACGGGGGCCCGCACAAGCAGCGGAGCGUGUGGUUUAAUUCGAUGGUAAACGAAGAACCUUACCUAGGUUUGACAUAUAAGUAGUACUGACCCGAAAGGUGAUGGACCCGCAAGG
rnacentral:rRNA from 1 species